rnacentral:rRNA from 1 species
UGGGGAAUAUUGGACAAUGGGGGCAACCCUGAUCCAGCCAUGCCGCGUGAGUGAUGAAGGCCUUCGGGUUGUAAAGCUCUUUUGGCGGGGACGAUGAUGACGGUACCCGCAGAAUAAGCCCCGGCUAACUUCGUGCCAGCAGCCGCGGUAAGACGAAGGGGGCUAGCGUUGUUCGGAAUUACUGGGCGUAAAGCGAGUGUAGGCGGUUGCCCAAGUCAGGUGUGAAAGCCUUGAGCUCAACUCAAGAAAU